GGGUGUAUAGCUCAGUGUGGUAGAGCAUUCGACUGCAGAUCGGAAGGUCCCCGGUUCAAACCUGGGUGCCCCCU